AUUUACAAAAGUUUUCACCCUGAACACACCAGGUCUCACCUGAUCUCAGGAGCUAAGCAGGGUCAGACCUGGUUAGCACUUGGAAGGGAGUCUCCACCCUUUUCAUUCUGAUGCAGGUUUUGCAACAC
rnacentral:rRNA from 1 species